rnacentral:lncRNA from 10 species
AAAGUCUCAAAAGUACCUGUGAAAAUCUCUCCAGAAAAGCCAUUCUGAAUCUACAAACCUGCUGGUGAUUCUUUCAGCUCCUGAUUCAUUAUUUCUGGGUUCUAAAAAUAAUGUAAUAGGCAAAAAGAAGUAAAAUAAUUUUUAUAGUACAUGAUACUGUGUCACAUUAGAUAUAGUUAUUAAUGUGUUUUCCUACUCUUAAUCAUUUUGGAAACUAUAGAUGGUAUAUAUUAUUGUCAUUUUGAUAUAACAUUGGCAGAAAUAUCUUCCCAUUAUGUCAUUAUUUUUAUGGAGAAGAUUGACUCACAAACCCCUUUCCUGGAAGAAUAAUCCACUGUUAGUAGACAGGUGAUAAAAUACAAGUCAGAGGAGUGAAGAACUGUAGCUCCUAACAGGGAAACAAAUGAAACAUUUGUCAUUACAAGGGUAAUGACAUUUCUAGAAAGUUUCUUGGAAAUGAGAUAAGUUUGUGCUUAACCAGGGAAAAAAAUGUGUGACAAAAUUUGAAAGAUAUUCUACUGGUUACCCAUGCAUUUUAGCUGUAGUGAGAAGGAAAGAAGGGUACUCUGUCUCCAUCCCUCACCUUCCAGAGCUCUGGAAAUCACAGCACAUGUGGGAAAGGCCUCUGGUCCUCUAGGUAAACCUUGAGUUCUUUGUUUGAGACGGAGUCUUGUUCUGUCGCCCAGGCAGGAGUGCAGUGGCGCAGUCUCACUGCAACCCCCACCUCCCGGGUUCAAGCGAUACUUGUGCCUCAGCCUCCCAGGAAUCUGGGACUACAGGCAUAUGCCAGCACGCCCGGCUAAUUUUUGUAUUUUAAAUUAGCCAGGCGU